rnacentral:lncRNA from 1 species
AACCUGACAUUCUUUUAAUGUAACUGCAAGCAAUUUUCUGGGGUCAAAACCCAGGAAUCCAGCCCACCCAAGCCACAAAUUGUGCUGUAUUUUGUUCCAGGGACACCUUCCGGGGGCAGUCAGGAGAUCAAAUGCACGAAGCUCUGCUGCUCCAGCUGAGGGGAGAGCUGGCAGCAGCCUGUGCUCGACAUCCUCUCACUUGGACAUGGAGCUGGGGCAAUGCACCCUGUGCCAGCCCUAACCUGACUUCUGCUGGCGUCUGGCAGCAGGAAAAACACCCUGAAAGUGCCAGACAUCAGCAUGGCACCCCAGGGAUGUCGGAAUACAGGUGUGUAGGUGACGUGACUGAUCUCCAGAGGUUUUGGAGAAGGAUGAGCAGUGGCUGAUGGACUGUAAUCAUCUGCAGGGCUUUCUGCAGAGAAACACCAGAAAAGAAGGCAUUUCAUAGUCUACUGAGAUAUAAGGAUACUGCAAAUGGGGACCAGAACUUACUUUCUGAGGCUGUAGUUGACCCACAACAAUUUUGACUCAGGUUAAAGGAAAAUUAGAUUUAAAUAUAAUGAAGUCAAAAUGCAAAAUGAUGCACUAGAAAAUUGCUAGCUUUUUUUUUUUUUAAUAGAGAUUUUGCUUCCAUUUUCUGUGUUUAGUUUUACUUGACAGUGCUCAGCGCUCUAUAAGCUAUACAAAUCACCAAUACCUCUGUCCUGCCUCACCCUGACUUUGGUGGGUCCAGCUGCAGCUUUUAGCCUGUGCCCUGAGCUGGGGCAGGUGCAAAGCCACCGUUCUGCAGGGGUGGCUUGGAGAAAAAAACAUGCUUUGGAAAUUCCCCCUCUCCAACACACGAGAUGUUUUUCCUGCUUGCCUGGGGCCCUUUGAGGAGGCACACUGGUGUUCAGAGACGAGGGGCAGCAGCCUGUCUUGGUGAGCGUGACAAGGGCACAGCACGUGCAGGUAACGUGUCCGUGAUGGCGUGCCAGCCUGGCUGCGAUGCACAUGCCCUUUGGGUAGGUAGGUGCAGUACCUCUGCGCGGGCGGCACUAUCCUUGCCGUAGCGCAGUACUCAUCUCGCCCCCAGACAUCUCCAGUCAGCUCCCGCCUGUCUCAGCUUGGUUAUCUCCUCCGAGCCAAAGCCCUGCUCCUGCCUGAGUAACCCUUGCAGCUCCAGCUCUUUCUCUCAAGGACAAUAAACUUCACGCAGACAUUCCUUUUUUUUUUUCU